rnacentral:rRNA from 1 species
GACAGAGGGUGCAAACGUUGUUCGGAUUUACUGGGCGUAAAGCGCGUGUAGGCGGCUUUGCAAGUCGGAUGUGAAAUCCCACGGCUCAACCGUGGAAGUGCAUCCGAAACUGCAUCGCUGGAGUCUCGGAGAGGAAGGUGGAAUGCUUGGUGUAGAGGUAGAAAUUCGUAGAUAUCAAGCAGAACACCUGCGGCGAAGGCGGCCUUCUGGA